rnacentral:rRNA from 1 species
AUACGGAGGGUGCAAGUGUUAAUCGGAAUUACUGGGCGUAAAGCGCGCGUAGGCGGCUUGAUAAGUCGGAUGUGAAAUCCCCGGGCUUAACCUGGGAAUUGCAUUCGAUACUGUCAGGCUAGAGUGUGGUAGAGGGAAGUGGAAUUUCCGGUGUAGCGGUGAAAUGCGUAGAUAUCGGAAAGAACACCAGUGGCGAAGGCGACUUCCUGGCCCAAUACUGACGCUGAGGUGCGAAAGCGUGGGGAGCGAACAGGAUUAGAUACCCUAGUAGUCC